rnacentral:rRNA from 1 species
UGGGGAAUAUUGCACAAUGGGGGAAACCCUGAUGCAGCGACGCCGCGUGAGCGAAGAAGUAUCUCGGUAUGUAAAGCUCUAUCAGCAGGGAAGAAGAUGACGGUACCUGACUAAGAAGCACCGGCUAAAUACGUGCCAGCAGCCGCGGUAAUACGUAUGGUGCAAGCGUUAUCCGGAUUUACUGGGUGUAAAGGGAGCGUAGACGGAGAAGCAAGUCUGGAGUGAAAGCCCGGGGCUCAACCCCGGGACUGCUUUGGAAACUGUUUUUCUGGAGUGCCGGAGAGGUAAGCGGAAUUCCUAGUGUAGCGGUGAAAUGCGUAGAUAUUAGGAGGAACACCAGUGGCGAAGGCGGCUUACUGGACGGUAACUGACGUUGAGGCUCGAAAGCGUGGGGAGCAAACA